AGAUCCCCUUAUCCAGGCCACCUUUGGAAACCAGCCCACCUGCUACACCAACCUUUUCCCAACACCGUGGUCCCACCCCUACCUUCGCUGCUGAAAAACCGCAUUGUGUGGGGGUCUGGAAUCUUCUGGACUCCUGGGACCCCAAUCCGCUUGCCUCUUGUACCCCUCUUGCAGAGCAAUGAGCCGAUGGGGUGCCAGGCAUUAGAAACCUUCCCUCCAAUCCUCACCAUGUCUCCAUUUUGCCAAAGAAGAAACUGAGGUUAAGGUCGCGAUGCUCUGGCCAGCAUCACAGGUAAACGAUUUUGGCAGUGCCCGGAGAAAGAUAGAAGUAAGACCUAAAGAGGAACUUUCCGCAUGUUAUGGGAGAGCCCCUGGGGCGAGGAGGCGAGGGCAGCCUUCCCCAGGCCAAGGGAGCAGCCAUCGCUCUUGGAUCUGUUUUUCCUCAAGCGUCUGUCCUGUGGGGCCUAGUCCCCAAGCGGCAGUCCUGGACCUAACGGGAGAAGGGGCUGGGGGAAGAGGGCGCACCCCCAGCCCGGGACCCACAGCAGCCCUAGCCAGUCCCCCACUCUCUCCCUCUGUAGGGGCCUCUCUCUGAGAUCGGGUCCUCCUCCUGCAGGGCAGCAGAGUGGAAGCCAGGGCCUGGGACCCUCUGGCUGGGCAAGGAGGGACUGGAGUCCGGCUCCCGGUGACCCCGUCCCCAGUGCCAGCGGUGGGGUCGCCUGUGGCGGCCCGGACAGGCC
rnacentral:lncRNA from 1 species